GGGAUUAGCUCAAAUGGUAGAGCGCUCG
rnacentral:piRNA from 4 species